GGGUUGUGAGGUUAAGCGACUAAGCGUACACGGUGGAUGCCCUGGCAGUCAGAGGCGAUGAAGGACGUGCUAAUCUGCGAAAAGCGUCGGUAAGGUGAUAUGAACCGUUAUAGCCGGCGAUGUCCGAAUGGGGAAACCCAGUGUGAUUCGUCACACUAUCGUUAACUGAAUACAUAGGUUAACGAGGCGAACCGGGGGAACUGAAACAUCUAAGUACCCCGAGGAAAAGAAAUCAACCGAGAUUCCCCCAGUAGCGGCGAGCGAACGGGGAGCAGCCCAGAGUCUGAAUCAGCUUGUGUGUUAGUGGAACGGUCUGGAAAGUCCGACGGUACAGGGUGAUAGUCCCGUACACCAAAAUGCACAGGCUGUGAACUCGAAGAGUAGGGCGGGACACGUGGUAUCCUGUCUGAAUAUGGGGGGACCAUCCUCCAAGGCUAAAUACUCCUGACUGACCGAUAGUGAACCAGUACCGUGAGGGAAAGGCGAAAAGAACCCCGGCGAGGGGAGUGAAAAAGAACCUGAAACCGUGUACGUACAAGCAGUGGGAGCACCUUCGGGUGUGACUGCGUACCUUUUGUAUAAUGGGUCAGCGACUUAUAUUCUGUAGCAAGGUUAACCGUAUAGGGGAGCCGCAGGGAAACCGAGUCUUAACUGGGCGUUAAGUUGCAGGGUAUAGACCCGAAACCCGGUGAUCUAGCCAUGGGCAGGUUGAAGGUUGGGUAACACUAACUGGAGGACCGAACCGACUAAUGUUGAAAAAUUAGCGGAUGACUUGUGGCUGGGGGUGAAAGGCCAAUCAAACCGGGAGAUAGCUGGUUCUCCCCGAAAGCUAUUUAGGUAGCGCCUCGUGAACUCAUCUUCGGGGGUAGAGCACUGUUUCGGCUAGGGGGUCAUCCCGACUUACCAACCCGAUGCAAACUACGAAUACCGAAGAAUGUUAUCACGGGAGACACACGGCGGGUGCUAACGUCCGUCGUGAAGAGGGAAACAACCCAGACCGCCAGCUAAGGUCCCAAAGUCAUGGUUAAGUGGGAAACGAUGUGGGAAGGCACAGACAGCCAGGAUGUUGGCUUAGAAGCAGCCAUCAUUUAAAGAAAGCGUAAUAGCUCACUGGUCGAGUCGGCCUGCGCGGAAGAUGUAACGGGGCUAAACCAUGCACCGAAGCUGCGGCAGCGACACUAUGUGUUGUUGGGUAGGGGAGCGUUCUGUAAGCCUGCGAAGGUGACCUGUGAGGGUUGCUGGAGGUAUCAGAAGUGCGAAUGCUGACAUAAGUAACGAUAAAGCGGGUGAAAAGCCCGCUCGCCGGAAGACCAAGGGUUCCUGUCCAACGUUAAUCGGGGCAGGGUGAGUCGACCCCUAAGGCGAGGCCGAAAGGCGUAGUCGAUGGGAAACAGGUUAAUAUUCCUGUACUUGGUGUUACUGCGAAGGGGGGACGGAGAAGGCUAUGUUAGCCGGGCGACGGUUGUCCCGGUUUAAGCAUGUAGGCUGGUUAUCCAGGCAAAUCCGGAUAAUCAAGGCUGAGGUGUGAUGACGAGGCACUACGGUGCUGAAGUAACAAAUGCCCUGCUUCCAGGAAAAGCCUCUAAGCAUCAGGUAACAUCAAAUCGUACCCCAAACCGACACAGGUGGUCAGGUAGAGAAUACCAAGGCGCUUGAGAGAACUCGGGUGAAGGAACUAGGCAAAAUGGUGCCGUAACUUCGGGAGAAGGCACGCUGGUGUGUAGGUGAAGUCCCUGCGGAUGGAGCUGAGACCAGUCGAAGAUACCAGCUGGCUGCAACUGUUUAUUAAAAACACAGCACUGUGCAAACACGAAAGUGGACGUAUACGGUGUGACGCCUGCCCGGUGCCGGAAGGUUAAUUGAUGGGGUUAUCCGUAAGGAGAAGCUCUUGAUCGAAGCCCCGGUAAACGGCGGCCGUAACUAUAACGGUCCUAAGGUAGCGAAAUUCCUUGUCGGGUAAGUUCCGACCUGCACGAAUGGCGUAAUGAUGGCCAGGCUGUCUCCACCCGAGACUCAGUGAAAUUGAACUCGCUGUGAAGAUGCAGUGUACCCGCGGCAAGACGGAAAGACCCCGUGAACCUUUACUAUAGCUUGACACUGAACAUUGAGCCUUGAUGUGUAGGAUAGGUGGGAGGCUUUGAAGCGUGGACGCCAGUCUGCGUGGAGCCAACCUUGAAAUACCACCCUUUAAUGUUUGAUGUUCUAACGUUGGCCCCUGACCGGGGUUGCGGACAGUGUCUGGUGGGUAGUUUGACUGGGGCGGUCUCCUCCCAAAGCGUAACGGAGGAGCACGAAGGUUAGCUAAUCCUGGUCGGACAUCAGGAGGUUAGUGCAAUGGCAUAAGCUAGCUUGACUGCGAGCGUGACGGCGCGAGCAGGUGCGAAAGCAGGUCAUAGUGAUCCGGUGGUUCUGAAUGGAAGGGCCAUCGCUCAACGGAUAAAAGGUACUCCGGGGAUAACAGGCUGAUACCGCCCAAGAGUUCAUAUCGACGGCGGUGUUUGGCACCUCGAUGUCGGCUCAUCACAUCCUGGGGCUGAAGUAGGUCCCAAGGGUAUGGCUGUUCGCCAUUUAAAGUGGUACGCGAGCUGGGUUUAGAACGUCGUGAGACAGUUCGGUCCCUAUCUGCCGUGGGCGCUGGAGAAUUGAGGGGGGCUGCUCCUAGUACGAGAGGACCGGAGUGGACGCAUCACUGGUGUUCGGGUUGUCAUGCCAAUGGCACUGCCCGGUAGCUAAAUGCGGAAGAGAUAAGUGCUGAAAGCAUCUAAGCACGAAACUUGCCCCGAGAUGAGUUCUCCCUGAGACUUUAAGUCUCCUGAAGGAACGUUAAAGACGAUGACGUUGAUAGGCCGGGUGUGUAAGCGCAGCGAUGCGUUGAGCUAACCGGUACUAAUGAACCGUGAGGCUUAACCUUACAACGCCGAAG
rnacentral:rRNA from 1 species